CCUACGGGUGGCAGCAGUAGGGAAUAUUGCUCAAUGGGGGAAACUCUGAAGCAGCAACGCCGCGUGGAGGAAGAAGGUUUUAGGAUUGUGAACUCCUUUUGUUAGAGAGGAUAAUGAAGGUAUGUAAAGCAUUAGCACCGGCUAACUCCGUGACAGAUGCGGCGGUAAUACGGAGGGUGCCAGCGUUACUCGGAAUCACUGGGCGUUAAGAGCGCGUAGGCGGGAUAGCAAGUCAGAUGUGAAAUCCUAUGGCUUAACCAUAGAACUGCAUGUGAAACUGUUAUUCUAGAGUAUGGGAGAGGUAGGUGGAAUGCAUGGUGUAGGGGUAAAAUCCGUAGAGAUCAAGAGGAAUACUCAUUGCGAAGGCGACCUGCUAGAACAUAUCUGACGCUGAUGCGCGAAAGCGUGGGGAGCAAACAGGAUUAGAUACCCGAGUAGUC
rnacentral:rRNA from 1 species